GCCAUACCAGCUUAUCAAAGCCUUAAGCCUUAGUUAAUCAGGCCUGGUUAGUACUGGGAUGGGAGACCACUGGGAAUACCAGGUGC
rnacentral:rRNA from 1 species